GACGAACGCUGGCGGCGUGCUUAACACAUGCAAGUCGAACGGAAAGGCCCUGCUUUUGUGGGGUGCUCGAGUGGCGAACGGGUGAGUAACACGUGAGUAACCUGCCCUUGACUUUGGGAUAACUUCAGGAAACUGGGGCUAAUACCGGAUAGGAGCUCCUGCUGCAUGGUGGGGGUUGGAAAGUUUCGGGGGUUGGGGAUGGACUCGCGGCUUAUGAGCUUGUUGGUGGGGUAGUUGCUUACCAAGGAUUGGAGGGGUAGCCGGCCUGGGGGGGUGACCGGCCCAAUUGGGACUGAGGAACGCCCAAGACCCCACCGGGGGGGAGGGGGGGGGAAUUUUCGAAAAGGGGCGGAAGCCGUGAGCAGGAACGCCGGGUGGGGGAUGACGGCUUUCGGGUGGUAACCCGUUUGCCCCUGUAACGAAGGGGGAGGCGGGGUAAUGGGUAAAAAGGCACCGGCAAACUAGGG
rnacentral:rRNA from 1 species